UACGUAGGGUGCGAGCGUUGUCCGGAAUUAUUGGGCGUAAAGGGCUCGUAGGCGGUCUGUCGCGUCGGUAGUGAAAACUCAGGGCUUAACCCUGAGCCUGCUUCCGAUACGGGCAGACUAGAGGUAUGCAGGGGAGAAUGGAAUUCCUGGUGUAGCGGUGAAAUGCGCAGAUAUCAGGAGGAACACCGGUGGCGAAGGCGGUUCUCUGGGCAUUACCUGACGCUGAGGAGCGAAAGUGUGGGGAGGCGAACAGG
rnacentral:rRNA from 1 species